GAUCAAAGUGUAGUAUCUGUUCUUAUCAGCUUAAUAUCUGAUACGCGGUGCAUGCACCGCUACGAUAUUAAACUGAUUUUUGGAACUAGGCGGUGGCUCUGGGNUUUACCUACCCACCGCCACGGGUUGGCC
rnacentral:snRNA from 1 species